CAGCCGUAACUAUGCGCGUUAGGUGUAUCGGUGACCACGAGUUACCGAGGUGCCGAAGGGAAACCGUGAAACGUGCCGCCUGGGAAGUACGGUCGCAAGGCUGAAACUUAAAGGAAUUGGCGGGGGAGCACCACAACAGGUGGAGCCUGCGGUUUAAUUGGACUCAACGCCGGGAAGCUCACCGGAUAGGACAGCAGAAUGAUUGCCGGGCUGAAGACCCUGCAUGACUAGCUGAGAGGAGGUGCAUGGCGUCAGUGACU
rnacentral:rRNA from 1 species